rnacentral:tRNA from 1 species
AAUCUGGUGGCCGAUAAAGGUGUGAAUCUUUUAAGUUCAUCAUAGAUAAUCUUCAGAUUA